rnacentral:rRNA from 1 species
CGCGGCCUAUCAGCUUGUUGGUGGGGUAACGGCCUACCAAGGCAACGACGGGUAGCUGGUCUGAGAGGACGAUCAGCCACACUGGCACUGAGAUACGGGCCAGACUCCUACGGGAGGCAGCAGUGAGGAAUAUUGCGCAAUGGGCGAAAGCCUGACGCAGCGACGCCGCGUGGGGGAAGAAGGUUUUCGGAUUGUAAACCCCUUUUAGGAGGAAAGAUGGGGUGGGUUUCCACCCGGACGGUACCUCCAGAAAAAGCCACGGCUAACUUCGUGCCAGCAGCCGCGGUAAUACGAAGGUGGCGAGCGUUGUUCGGAUUUACUGGGCGUAAAGAGCACGUAGGCGGUUUAGUAAGCCCCUUGGGAAAGCUAUGGGCUUAACCCAUAAAGGUCGAGGGGGACUGCUAAGCUAGAGGGCGGGAGAGGAGCGCGGAAUUUCCGGUGUAGCGGUGAAAUGCGUAGAUAUCGGGAAGAAGGCCGGUGGCGAAGGCGGCGCUCUGGAACGUCUCUGACGCUGAGGUGCGAAAGCGUGGGGAGCAAACAGGAUUAGAUACCCCGGUAGUCCACGCCGUAAACGAUGGGUACUAAGUGUCGGCAGGUUACUGCCGGUGCCGCAGUUAACGCAGUAAGUGCCCCGCCUGGGGAGUACGG